rnacentral:rRNA from 1 species
GGAGGGUGCAAGCGUUAAUCGGAAUUACUGGGCGUAAAGCGCGCGUAGGCGGUUCUGUAAGUCGGAUGUGAAAGCCCUGGGCUUAUCCUGGGAAUUGCAUUCGAAACUGCAGGACUAGAGUAUGGUAGAGGGAAGUGGAAUUUCCGGUGUAGCGGUGAAAAGCGUAGAUAUCGGAAGGAACACCAGUGGCGAAGGCGACUUCCUGGGCCAAUACUGACGCUGAGGUGCGAAAGCGUGGGGAGCAAACAGGGAUUAGAUACCCUGGUAGUCCACGCCGUAAACGAUGAGAACUAGAUGUUGGAGGGUUACCUUUGGUGUCGCAGCUAACGCGUUAAGUUCUCCGCCUGGGGAGUACGCCGGCAACGGUA